rnacentral:rRNA from 1 species
AACGUAGGAGACAAACGUUAUCCGGAGUUACUGGGCGUAAAGGGCGUGUAGGUGGUUCUGUAAGUCUGGCGUGAAAUUUCUCGGCUUAACCGAGGCAGGUCGUCGGAUACUGCAGGGCUAGAGGACGGUAGAGGCGUGUGGAAUUCCGGGUGUAGUGGUGAAAUGCGUAGAGAUGCGGAGGAACACCGAUGGCGAAGGCAGCCCCCUGGGUUGACACUGACGCGCAGGCACGAAAGCGUGGGGAGCAAACAGG